UACAGAGGUGGCAAGCGUUGUUCGGAAUUACUGGGCGUAAAGGGCGCGUAGGCGGCCUUCUAAGUCAGACGUGAAAUCCCCAGGCUUAACUUGGGAACUGCGUCUGAUACUGGGAGGCUUGAGUGCGGGAGAGGGAUGUGGAAUUCCAGGUGUAGCGGUGAAAUGCGCAGAUAUCAGGAGGAACACCGAUGGCGAAGGCAGGUCUCUGGGCCAUAACUGACGCUGAGAAGCGAAAGCAUGGGGAGCGAACAGG
rnacentral:rRNA from 1 species